rnacentral:rRNA from 1 species
ACAUAGGGGUCAAGCGUUGUCCGGAUUUACUGGGCGUAAAGGGCUCGUAGGCGGCGAGACAAGUCAGAAUUUAAAGGCAAGAGCUCAACUCUUGUUCGGUUCUGAAACUAUCUUGCUUGAGAUUGGGAGAGGAAGACGGAAUUAACAGUGUAGCGGUGAAAUGCGUAGAUAUUGUUAAGAACACCCGUGGCGAAGGCGGUCUUCUGGCCCAAAUCUGACGCCGAGGAGCGAAAGCGUGGGGAGCAAACAG